GCUUACACAUGCAAGUCGCACGAGAACGCUUCAGCUUGCUGAAGUUAGUAAAGUGGCGCACGGGUGAGUAACGCGUGGGUAAUCUACCUCCGAAUUGGGGAUAACCCCGCGAAAGCGGGGCUAAUACCGGAUAGUAUCUUAAGAACCUCGGUUUUUUUGAUCAAAGGUGGCCUCUACAUGUAAGCUACUGUUUGGGGAUGAGCCCGCGUACCAUUAGCUUGUUGGUAGGGUAAUGGCCUACCAAGGCUACGAUGGUUAGCUGGUCUGAGAGGAUGAUCAGCCACACUGGAACUGACACACGGUCCAGACUCCUACGGGAGGCAGCAGUGAGGAAUUUUGCGCAAUGGGGGAAACCCUGACGCAGCAACGCCGCGUGAGUGAUGAAGGCUUUCGGGUCGUAAAGCUCUGUCAAGUGGGAAGAACCCACAUGGUGAUAAUACCAUCAUGUGCUGACGGUACCACUGAAGGAAGCACCGGCUAACUCCGUGCCAGCAGCCGCGGUAAUACGGGGGGUGCAAGCGUUAUUCGGAAUUACUGGGCGUAAAGAGCGCGUAGGCGGUCUCUUAAGUCAGGUGUGAAAGCCCGGGGCUUAACCCCGGAAGUGCACUUGAAACUAAGGGACUUGAGUAUGGGAGAGGGAAGUGGAAUUCCUGGUGUAGCGGUGAAAUGCGUAGAUAUCAGGAGGAACAUCGGUGGCGAAGGCGACUUCCUGGACCAAUACUGACGCUGAGGCGCGAAGGCGUGGGGGAGCAAACAGGAUUAGAUACCCUGGUAGUCCACGCAGUAAACGGUGAACACUAUGUGUAGCGGGUAUUGACCCCUGCUGUGCCGAAGCAAACGCAUUAAGUGUUCCGCCUGGGGAGUACGACCGCAAGGUUAAAACUCAAAGGAAUUGACGGGGGCCCGCACAAGCGGUGGAGCAUGUGGUUUAAUUCGACGUAACGCGAAGAACCUUACCUGGAUUUGACAUCCCGGGAAUCUUUUGGAAACUUGAGAGUGC
rnacentral:rRNA from 1 species